rnacentral:rRNA from 1 species
CCUACGGGUGGCAGCAGUGAGGAAUAUUGGUCAAUGGACGAGAGUCUGAACCAGCCAAGUAGCGUGAAGGAUGACUGCCCUAUGGGUUGUAAACUUCUUUUAUAUGGGAAUAAAAUGUUCCACGUGUGGGAUUUUGUAUGUACCAUAUGAAUAAGGAUAGGCUAACUCCGUGCCAGCAGCCGCGGUAAUACGGAGGAUCCGCGCGUUAUCCGGAUUUAUUGGGUUUAAAGGGAGCGUAGGUGGAUUGUUAAGUCAGUUGUGAAAGUUUGCGGCUCAACCGUAAAAUUGCAGUUGAAACUGGCAGUCUUGAGUACAGUAGAGGUGGGCGGAAUUCGUGGUGUAGCGGUGAAAUGCUUAGAUAUCACGAAGAACUCCGAUUGCGAAGGUAGUUCACUGGACUGCAACUGACACUGAGGCUCGAAAGUGUGGGUAUCAAACAGGAUUAGAUACCCUGGUAGUC